AUGGCUCAGGAUGAACGCUAGCUACAGGCUUAACACAUGCAAGUCGAGGGGCAGCAUUGGGAUAGCUUGCAUUCAGAUGGCGACCGGCGCACGGGUGAGUAACGCGUAUCCAACCUUCCUGCCAGUAGGGAACAGCCCGGCGAAAGUCGGAUUAAUGCCCUAUGUUCUUCAAUGCGGACAUCUAAGUUGAAGGAAAGAUUCAUCGCUGGCAGAUGGGGAUGCGUCCGAUUAGCUUGCCGGCGGGGUAACGGCCCACCGGGGCGACGAUCGGUAGGGGUUCUGAGAGGAAGGUCCCCCACACUGGUACUGAGACACGGACCAGACUCCUACGGGAGGCAGCAGUGAGGAAUAUUGGUCAAUGGGCGUAAGCCUGAACCAGCCAAGUAGCGUGCCAGGACGACGGCCCUACGGGUUGUAAACUGCUUUUAUGCGGGGAUAAAGUGCGGCACGUGUGCCGCUUUGCAGGUACCGCAUGAAUAAGGACCGGCUAAUUCCGUGCCAGCAGCCGC
rnacentral:rRNA from 1 species